rnacentral:rRNA from 1 species
GACGAACGCUGGCGGCGUGCUUAACACAUGCAAGUCGAACGAAGAGCGACGGAAGCUUGCUUCUAUCAAUCUUAGUGGCGAACGGGUGAGUAACGCGUAAUCAACCUGCCCUUCAGAGGGGGACAACAGUUGGAAACGACUGCUAAUACCGCAUACGAUCUAAUCUCGGCAUCGAGGAUGGAUGAAAGGUGGCCUCUACAUGUAAGCUAUCACUGAAGGAGGGGAUUGCGUCUGAUUAGCUAGUUGGAGGGGUAACGGCCCACCAAGGCGAUGAUCAGUAGCCGGUCUGAGAGGAUGAACGGCCACAUUGGGACUGAGACACGGCCCAGACUCCUACAGGAGGCAGCAGUGGGGAAUCUUCCGCAAUGGACGAAAGUCUGACGGAGCAACGCCGCGUGAGUGAUGACGGCCUUCGGGUUGUAAAGCUCUGUUAAUCGGGACGAAAGGCCUUCUUGCGAAUAGUGAGAAGGAUUGACGGUACCGGAAUAGAAAGCCACGGCUAACUACGUG